rnacentral:lncRNA from 1 species
UGACAGUACUCAUCAGAAAACAUUGUGACAUUCCACAGCGUUCUCGUGUAGGACUUUUGAUAGAUAACAGCUAUUAUGCAAUUUUGGCAAUGAUUAGUUGUAUGAUCAGUGGAUUAACCUAUGUUCCAUUGGACAAGAACAAUGGCAAAAACAAAAAUCAGCAAGUUUGUACUGAGGCAGAAUGUAAAAUAAUCCUCUUUGGUCGUUCACAUUUAUCAAUUGCAAACCAUUUGCAAUGGGCAUGUCAUGCAGUUAAGACCAUAGUAUGCUUAGAUGCCGACAACUUUGCGGGACUUGAUGAAAACCUUGAUUCACCUUUGAUGGAAAAGGAACUAUGGAACUCUGUAGCCGAUGAAGCGAAAAAUGAUAUUGAAGGAGGAGGUUGGAAAAGUUCUUAUACUGGGGAAUACAUGACCGAAAAUGAGAUGAACGAGUAUGCAGAAAAUGUUCGCAUGAAACUGCAAGAUUAUCUCUUCAAAGAUGCGAGAGUAUUGGAAAUUGGUUGUGCAUCAGGAAUAACGACAAAAAAGGUGAGGCCACUUGUAGGAUUCUAUUUAGCGACUGACAUCUCACAAAUUAUGGUCAACAAACUUUCAAAACAAUACAAAGAUGAUUGUAAUUUUCAAGCUAUUUGUGUCUCAGCUCAUGAUGUUCACAAGCUGGUAGAUCAAAAUUUCGAUGUUAUUAUCAUAAAUAGUGUCGUGCAUUGUUUUCCUGGUCAUAACUAUUUCAAGAAAGUAUUUGCGGCAUGCGAAAAUCUACUCAGUGAUAAUGGUGUUAUUUUUAUCGGAGAUAUCAUGGAUUUAGAUCUGCAAACCAAUUUGAUAACAUCUACAAAAUUGUUCAAGGAAAAAAACCCGAAUUUAAGAGUAAAGACCGAAUGGAACGACGAGCUUUUCCUUUCGAAAGACUUUUUGAGCAAUAUUUGCAACAAUUCUGAAAAGAUACAAAGUGUGACAUUUUCUAGAAAAAUAUACACCAUAUCAAACGAACUUACCGAUUUUCGAUUUGACGCAAUAUUUACAAAUGUUUGUAACCAUCAUAACAAGAAGAAUGACGUCAACACAUAUGCUGCAGGAAAUAUUCGUUCUCAGAAUCCAAACGCAUUUGAAGACGAAUGGAUAGAUGGGAUAACAUUUUCUGAUCAGGCGUACAUUUUAUUUACUUCCGGAACAACUGGAACACCAAAAGGAGUCAUCAUUAGUCAUGAAGCUUUACUAAAUUACGUUCUUUGGGCAGCAAAAACAUACAACUUUACGACCGAAUCUACGAUUCCUUUCUUUUCGCCACUAACAUUCGAUUUCACUGUAACAAGCAUUUUCCCACCAUUGCUGAAUGGAAGUAAAAUCAAAAUUUUUCCGAACUUUCAUGACUCGUACGAAGCA